UACGGGGGGGGCAAGCGUUGUUCGGAAUUACUGGGCGUAAAGGGCUCGUAGGCGGCCAACUAAGUCAGACGUGAAAUCCCUCGGCUUAACCGGGGAACUGCGUCUGAUACUGGAUGGCUUGAAUCCGGGAGAGGGAUGCGGAAUUCCUGGUGUAGCGGUGAAAUGCGCAGAUAUCAGGAGGAACACCGAUGGCGAAGGCAGCUCGCUGGGACGUUACUGACACUGAGGCGCGAAAGCGUGGGGAGCGAACGAG
rnacentral:rRNA from 1 species